rnacentral:lncRNA from 1 species
CUUGUCUUCUUUUUUCUUUCUUUUUGCACCAGGGAUUGAACUUGGGUCCUUGUGCUUGCAAGGCAGACAGUGGAACCACUGAACUAAGUCCCAGCCCGAUCUUGUCCUCUUUUCCACAUCAUCAAAAGGGAACAAGAAAAUGAAACAUACAUGUGAAGGGACAAUGGAACCUAGAAGAUUAGAAAAUGAAACACACAGGUGAAGGG